rnacentral:lncRNA from 1 species
GGCUACACCUAGGAUCAGGUCUCUCUUUAUUACUAUGUUCAAACUUGACUUGUUCUUCUCCCAAGUGUUAUGCCUUUCAGACGUUGGCCCACCUUACUCCAAGGGAUCUUAUCUGGUUCCUCAAGAUUGGCCAAAACAACUUUGGCCAAUUUAGGUUGGGUAAAGAAAAUGGAUCGGAUUCAUUAAGGGAUAUGUCCAGCAUUGAUGGGAAGUAAGCACACAAAGUAAGCCUUGCCAUUUUCUUAUAUUUGGUUUAGCACGGGGCAUAAUGGGUCGACACGCAAGAUGCUCACUUCACUACUGAUUUAGGCUAAUGGGUCCCUCACCGUCAUGGACCCACUAAAGUGUCAAGACAUUCUGCCCAUCAUAAUCUAUUGUCGGUGAUAGUGGGGGCAUGAUGAAUGUAGCAAGUUGGGGGGUUG